rnacentral:lncRNA from 1 species
AAGUAUUUCCGCAUCCCUACCAUGAGAGCAGCUUCCUUCUCUCUCAUCUACUCUUUGCAGGAGAAGUGUUCAAUCUCUUGGAUCAUUUUUGUGGCCCUCCUCUGGACACACUCCAACAGGUUCAUGUCUCUCAUGUACUGAGGACUCCACAUCUGGACACAGUACUCCAGGACAGACUGGAUACAGGGCUUUUCCUUCACAGCUGAGAUUGCCACAUCCAAUAAUGUUCAACCUUGCUCCAGCACUGAACUAUAGAAAACCUUGAACUCUGCUUUGUCAAGAGGUGCGGAGAACAAACCCCACAGGAUCACUUCUAGGACAUCCUUGUGAAGAAGAGUGGUUUAACUGUCUGAUACUGAAAAAAGAGUUUGAACUUAGAUCUCCUAUUGCAUGUGUUCAAACUGGAAUGACUGAAAUGGACACCAUUGCUGUAUUUCUCUUUCAAUGACCAGAGCACCUAAAAUCUAAUGAUAUCUCAAUAAUGUUUGUAUUCUUCAUUCAUCUGUAAGAUUAUCAGAUGAUGCCUUCACUUUUGAUAUGUAUGUAUGCAUGUGUAUAUAUAUGUGUAUUUUCACCAAGUGAACAGAAGAACAUGGUUGCAGUGCUAAG